ACGCUUGACACCUACGGGGGGCAGCAGUUGGGAAUAUUGGACAAUGGAGGAAACUCUGAUCCAGUGACGCCGCGUGAAGGAAGAAGGUCUUCGGAUUGUAAACUUAUUUUGUCAGGGAAGAAAAAUGACUGUACCUGAAGAAAAAGCACCGGCUAACUACGUGCCAGCAGCCACGGUAAUCUGAGCGGGCUGCAAGGC
rnacentral:rRNA from 1 species